AGCUUUGCACAGUGGCAGUAUCAUAACCAAUGUAGUUUAUCUGAGGCGGGAAGAUUACUAAUUGAAAACUUUUUCCAAUACCCUGCUAUGAUGACUUGAAAUACAGUAUGCAUUGGCAAUUUAAAAAUUUUUUGAAUGAAA